rnacentral:rRNA from 1 species
GUAGGGAAUAUUGGGCAAUGGAUGCAAGUCUGACCCAGCCAUCCCGCGUGCCGGAAGAAGGCCCUCAGGGUUGUAAACGGCUUUUGACGGUGAAGAAUCGACAGGAUGCGUCCUGUUUUGACGGUAGCCGUUGAAUAAGCACCGGCUAACUCCGUGCCAGCAGCCGCGGUAAUACGGAGGGUGCGGGCGUUGUCCGGAUGUAUUGGGGUUAAAGGGUGCGUAGGCUGGAAGGUCAGUCAGCGGUGAAAAGCUGUCGCUUAACGAUAGUCUUGCCGCAGAUACUUCCUUUCUUGGAUGAGGAGGAGGCCACUGGAACGGAUGGUGUAGCGGUGAAAUGCAUAGAUAUCAUCCAGAACACCGAUUGCGAAGGCAGGUGGCUGUACCUUAAUCGACGCUGAUGCACGAAAGCAUGGGGAGCAAACAGGAUUAGAAACCCGGGUAGUCC